GUAUGAAGGUCUGGGAAUGUAGUUACGAAGGUCUGAGGAUGGAAAGGUCUAACACGGUGGAUAAAUGCAAGUUAUGAAGGUUUGAGAAUGGAAGGUCUGAAAAUGGAAGGUCUAAGAUGGCAAUGUAAGGUGUAUGAAUUAAAGUUAUGAAGGUCUGAGGAUAAAAAGGCUUAAGUGAUGAUAAAGUGAGUUGAGACAUUAAAAAGAAUGAAAUGUGUUCCUGAUUUCUCUAUUUCUCAUGCUACUGUUCAUAGUAAAGUUCACCAAUACCACUAUAGGAUCAUAACUACAAGGUCAACAUUAAGAUGCUUUUCAUUGUCCUAAAAAUAUGUCAAUUUUAAAAUGUUAAUGCUUUCAGCCAAGUUGCUUCUAUCAAAAUAUGCUGCUAAUGUGUCUAAUACUUAUGUUUCCACAAACUCUUAAGGAUUCUUGUUUAAGUUCCAGGGAGCUGAAUUGGAUCCAAACAAACAGGUCUAAGAGGCGCCAGAGAGUUCCACACAGCCUGGACUUCGAUGAAACAACCAGCUACCCCAGGAUGUGGCAGCACCCCAACCUUCUCGGGUCCCCCAAAGAGAUGGUCAAUACCCAUGUCAGCAGGAAGCUGUUUUGAGAAUUCGACGCCCCUUAUUCCUUAACCUGCCAUGUCCAACACCCCACCUUUUUUAAAAUAAGGUGGGAUUGAAAGGCUCAGGCAUUAUGCUGGCCUGCCCCUGUUACCUGGUGUAACAGGCAGUACCCUGGUCAGCCCAGGGUUCCAUGGGAACAAAGUCUGCACGCAGGUGCAGAGGACCCCUUUAAAAGACAGAGCCAUGCCCAUUUACGCUGUCUCUACACUUCUCUCUGCUCUCUACUCUCUACACUUUUCGCUCUGCUCUUGUCUGCUUCUGCUUUUCUCUCUUCUCUGUGGUCAGCCAUUAACCGUGUUCCUCUUCUCCUUUAGUCUCCCUACUCUACCGGGCCUAUAAUAAUGGUUACUAUGUCUAAUAUGUCUCAUCCUGUGUCUCAUCCUGUGCCUUCCUCCUUUUCUUUAUAAUUUAAACAAAAGUCUAACAAUGGGGCCCAGUCAAAGAAGAAAGUAGUGUCCUGUACUAUAAACAGAGAAGCCAUUUGGUUUCCUUCCACCUUCCUGAGCCUUUUUUUUCUUUUAAAAUUUUAUUUAUUAUGCAUACAGUGAUCUGCCUACAUGUUUGCCUACAGGCUAGAAGAGGGCAUCAGAUCUCAUUACGGAUGGCUGUGAGCCACCAUGUGGUUGCUGGGAAUUGAACUCGGGACCUCUGGAAGAGCAGCCAGUUCUCUCAACCUCUGAGCCAUCUCUCCAGCCCCUUUCCUGAGCCUUUAAAUACAUAUUUGUGGGUCCUGGUGAAAUCAUCCACGUGUAUGCUGUUGUGUUUUGUGAGACAUGUUCUUACAGUCCGGGCUGACUUCAAACUCGCAAUCCUGCUCAUUCUUCUACUGCUGGAGUAAACCAUCAUGCCUGACUUCAGGCUUAUUUCAUUCGUUCCUGUGUGCCUGCACCUCUGGAUGACAGAGGAAAACCUUGUGUGUCAUCCCUCAGUAGCCAUGCAAUGUGCACACGUGGGAUAUGCUUGCCCACAAGUGAACACAAGGAAGCCUGCAUACACUCUCUAUUGUAGUCUCUUGGGCC
rnacentral:lncRNA from 1 species